rnacentral:rRNA from 1 species
UACAGGGGGUGCAAACGUUGCUCGGAAUCAUUGGGCGUAAAGCGCACGUAGGCGGUUCGUUAUGUCGGAUGUGAAAGCCCUUGGCUUAACCGAGGAAGUGCAUCCGAAACUGGCGAGCUAGAGUACUAAAGAGGAUCGCGGAAUUCCCGGUGUAGAGGUGAAAAUUCGUAGAUAUCGGGAGGAACACCGGUGGCGAAGGCGGCGAUCUGGGUAGAUACUGACGCUGAGGUGCGAAAGCGUGGGGAGCAAACAGGG